CCAUCAAUCACCCUGGCCCCGCCCCUCCCUGUCAAUCUCUCCCAGCCCCGCCCCCAGGGCGAGAGGCGGAAUCAGGCGUUCAACCCGUUUAUUCCGGGUUUUUAUUUUAUUGGCACCGGGGUCUCCCGCAGGGGCCGCCACGCUCCUGACGUCACGGCCCCGCCCCUUACGUUAAGGCAGCAGCAGGAAGCAAAUGAGGGGCGGGGUCCCUAGUGAUGGGAAGAAGCCGCAGGCCCUGCCCCCGACGUCAGUGCAGAUAUGCUAAUGAGGCACUGGAAGCAGCGCGGGGAUUCCCCACAGGCAAAUGAGCUGGGCGCUCCUUAUGCAAAUGAGCGGCAGGGUUAAGGCUUUGGCGAUUUGCAUAUGCAAAUGAGGGCCUGAGGCCCUGGCCCGGGGAUUGUGGGCGGAGCCCGGAGAUGUCAGAGCGCUGACGUCACGCGCAUGAGGGCGUGGCCUCGGGUUCUUCCUCUCUGCCGAGCAUCACGGGAGUCGUCACUGGGCGGAACCGGCUACACGGGGGCGGGGCCUGAGGGGAGAGAACCGGAAGUUAGGGCGACGGUGAUGCCAGGGGACUCAGGGGCGGGGCCCGGGAAGUGGAUGGUGGGGCAGGAAGUUCCGGCUGCUCCGUGACGUGAUUGACAGGCUCCGCUCAGGUGAUGCCCCUGGCUGACGUCACUGGAGACCCAGCCCGGGUGGUGAAUGACGUCACAAGGCAGUGAAGGGGGUUCCCGAUUGUAGCCACGCCCCUCCCGGGUAUCUGCCCCGCCGCUGUCAGUCAGGGCACGGAAGCCCCGCCCCUCCCGGGGCCCCGCCCUCACCGCUCUCCCGGAAGCACAGCCGCCGCUUCUGAUAGGCCACGAAGCUCGACACCGCGCCGGCCAGGGCGGCGACCACGGCGCCCACGAUGCCGGGAACCAGGCCCUGGGGGGACCCUGUGGGGGGGAGAGAGCGGCAGGCGGGGUGCUCAGUGCUCCCCAGACAGUGCUCAGUGCUCCCCAGACAGUGCUCAGUGCUCAGUAUUCAGUGCUCAGUGCUCCUCACUCAGUGCUCACUGCUCCUCACUCAGUGCUCACUGCUCCUCACUCAGUGCUCAGUGCUCCUCACUCAGUGCUCCUCACUCAGUGCUCCUCACUCAGUGCUCAGUGCUCCUCACUCAGUGCUCAGUUCUCAAUGCUCGCCAGACAGUGCUUAGUGCUCCCCACACAGUGCUCAGUGCUCCUCGCUCAAUGCUCCCUAGACAGUGCUCAGUGAUCCCCAGAGAGUGCUCAGUGCUCCUCACUCGGUGCUCCUCACUCCGUGCUCCCCCCCUCCUCCCUCACCUCCGGCUUCCGGCUCUGGUUCAGGACCCCCUCGGCUGCCGCCUCCGCCUGCAAGGGAAGAGAGGGCGGGGCUCCGGUGACGUCAGGGGCGGGGCUCGGGCGUGACCGGCAGUGUCACUGACGUCACAGGGAGGCUCUGGGGGUGGACGGCGGGGCGGGGCGGGGUCUGGGGGCGGGGUCUCUGUUGAGUGAAGUCAGGGGCGAGGUGUGACGUCGGUGACGUCGGGGCGGGGCCUCACCCUUCCCGCCGGCCGCGUCCUCCAGGUCGGUGAUGGAGAAAUUGCCUGUGGGCGGGGCCGGGAGGUGACGUCAGCGCACUCAUUUGCAUAAAUCAUAAAUCACGACACAGUGGCGGGCGGGGUUAGUGGGGGAAUUAGUAUAAAGGGGCGGGGUUAGUGGGGAAAUUAGUAUAAAGGGGCGGGGUUAGUGGGGGAAUUAGCAUAAAGGGGCGGGGAUCCCGGGUCGCUGGCAGAGCGUCAUUAGCAUAUAUGCAAAUGACAGGGCCUCGCUGACAUCUACGGACAGACCCCGCCAUUAGCAUAAAUUAGCAUAGGGGCCGGGCAUGCAAAUGAGCCCCUCGUUAGCGGGGGAGGAGCAUAGAGUGAAUUAGCAUAAACCACGCCUCGCAUGCAAAUGAGCCGACACAGGAUUAGCGCGGGCAGCUGACCUCAGCGUCAUUUACAUAAACGGAGACGACGUCACCGCCCAUUAGCAUAAACCAGGCCACACAGGGACCGCGAUUACCAUACAUGCAAAUGAGGAGGCCGGAUUAGCAUAAACGGAGGCCACGCCCUGCAGGAGGAGCAGGGUUAGAGCGGAUUAGCAUAAAUUAGCAUAGCCGGCCAUUAGCACAAACCCAGGCCCCGCCCCCCCGUCAGCACAAACCCAGGCCCCGCCCCUGACCCCACCUCCGGGCGGCGGCCGCGGCUUCGGAUCCGGCUUCGGCUGGUCCCGGGGUCUGGACGGGUUGGGGUCUGCGGAGGGCGAGGGGCGGGGUUUAUGGCACAUGGGGGCGGGGCCAGAGCCUGAGGACCCGCCCUUGUCUGGAUCCUGGAAUCCCCACGCCCAUACCUGAAGCCCCGCCCCCUCCUCCUUUAGCCCCUCC
rnacentral:lncRNA from 1 species